GUUGAUUGUUGCUGAUAUCUGAAGGUGGCCGAGCUUAUUCAAGCUAUCGGAGACGGAGAGACACUAAAAACAAGCUCUGCAGUUGCACUACAAGACUUCUAAACCAUGAGUGAUACAAAUGCUGCUUCACUUCCUCAACAAAAGUGGGUCAAAUAAAUCAAUCGAAAACAAAAAUUCAUCUCACAAUAUUGACAAAUUCAUAACAAUUUAUGAUAUUACCUCUUAAUCCACUCAAUAUCACCACCCUGACCCAAUUAUAAGACUUUCUUUCAAGCUACAUAAAAGUGGGAUAUUCUUAAACUUGAGGUCUAAUAAUCAGUUAGGUUGAUGCUGUUAUAUACUGUAUGUAUUAGUGCUAUGUUUGCAAAAUCAGCUGAUAAAAUAGAACUGUAUGGUAUUAUAACUUGUUGUAAAAUCUACUAGCUUUGUGAGACCUGCAGCUUUCUGUGUUUCUGUGACAUCUAGGAGAUUUUUAUCCCACUCAGACGAUCAAUUCAAGUAUAUUCAGAGACUGUUCGUACCAUAGACUGUAUAUAGAAUGGACAGCGUUUGCCUGCUCGCUUGGUGAAGCCACUCCGAGAACAGCACCCUCUGUUGACGGGCUGCAGUAUAGGUCAUACAUCCCGCC